rnacentral:tRNA from 1 species
GGCUGGGUAGCUCAGUGGAUUGAGAGCCAAGCCCUAGAGUGGGAGGUCCCAGGUUCGAAUCCGGCCUCAGCCA